rnacentral:rRNA from 1 species
GAUGAACGCUAGCGGCAGGCUUAAUACAUGCAAGUCGAGGGGCAUCAAGGUACACGAAAGUGUAUUGUUGGCGACCGGCGGACGGGUGAGUAAUAGGUAGGUAACCUACCUCAUACUGAGGCAUAGCUGGGAGAAAUUCCAGGUAAUUCCUCAUGAGGUUAUAUGACACAUGUGAUAUAAUCAAAGGUAUCGCAAGGUACUGGUAUGAGAUGGGCUUACUGACCAUUAGCUAGUUGGUGAGAUAAGAGCUCACCAAGGCGAAGAUGGUUAGGGGUUUUGAGAGAGAGAUCCCCCACAUUGGAACUGAGAUACGGUCCAGACUCCUACGGGAGGCAGCAGUAGGGAAUAUUGGGCAAUGGGCGGAAGCCUGACCCAGCCAUGCCGCGUGAAGGAAGACGGCCUUAUGGGGUUUAAACUUCUUUACUAUGCGACUAACUAGAUUUACGAGAUAAUUCUAUAGAAUGUAGCAUAGCAAAAGCACC